rnacentral:rRNA from 1 species
AAAAUAUCUAUCCUCCCUCUAAGCCUAGGUAGAAAACUAAGUUAUAAGACAAGGAUGAACACGAUAUAUGGUACUUUUUAAAAUCUGGUUCCCAAAGAAAUAAAACAUUUUAAAAAGAAUUUUAAAAUAAUGUAUUUAGCUUAUGCUGAGUAUAUAUUAGUGAGCAACUAAUUUAAAAAUAUUUAAGGAAUAAUAGUCCCCUCUGUUAUAAUAAAUUACUAUUGACCUAAUUUAUUUAUUAAGCUUCUCUUCUUAUUUGGGUAAUUAAUUCUAAGAAUUAGAACUUGUUUACACUAGUAAAUAUACUUUUAUUAUUUUCUUACUUAAAUAAGUUUUAUCAAUUUUAAAUUAAAUAUAAACUAAAUCACUUGAGAUUCUCCAAACUGUUUAACAAAGACCUAGUAAGACUGUGUCUUAUGUAUCUGCCCAAUGAAUAAUUUUUUAUGGCUUUAAAGUAGCGCAAUAAUUAGUUUAUUAAUUGUAAACCUGUAUGAAGCUAGCAUUGGUUAAUCAUGUUUAUUCUUAUCUGUUGAAUCUUAGUUAUCAGUACAAACGCUGAUAUGCUCCCCGAAGACGAUAAGACCCUAAGACCUUCACCUUGUUUGGCUGGGAUAGCCUACUUAAUAUAAUAAAGAAACCUUAAUUAUUACGAACCGAUUAUUUUGCUAUACAUAGGUACCUUAGGGAUAACAGCGCGUAAUACUUUUAGAGCUCUUAUUUAAAAGAUAUUCGUGACCUCGAUGUUGAAUUAAGUAAUAUAGUGCUGCAGAAGGUGCUAUUUUAAGUCUGUUCGACU